ACAAAGGAGCCAGUUCAACGUUGGAUGGCGAACGGUGCAUCCGUGCGCGACGCCACUCGUUCAUCGCUCGAGAGAUCGACAACGACGACGACGACGACGACGACGACGACGACGACGAGAUUCGAGUCCGCGCGUCGCCGUCAAGUCGCUAACGUUACGCGACGCGAUCCGCGAGAAGAUACCUCAACUCUGGUCGCUGCAAAGUUCGCAGGCCGCAUGCAAAGGAGAUAACUCGGAGAGCGUGUGACUACUCCGGGAGAGCGCGGCACCGAUCACGGUAAACGCGAAGCGGUGGCUCGAGGUCCGAAGGGCAGCGCGCAAACAAAUGCUGUAAAAAUGCCGUCGUUGCUGGAAGCGUUGGAGCUCAAGUACGGCAGCUCAACGACGGACUGUUCAUUAACGGACGAUGAGGCAGAGUCCGGUUCGCCUAAGGCUGCCUUGUCGGUAAGCAUCUUCAUCCCUAAGAAGUCCCCACGUCACACGGUGCCGGCGUUACUGGUUCUCCAGGACUGCGACAUCGAGUCGGCGGGCAGCGACGCUGAGAAACUCCGUAGCAAGUGUAAAAAUGUCGAGGAACUUGAUCUGGCGCAGAACAAGCUGUCACAAUGGACGGAAGUAUUUGGUAUCUUGCAGCACAUGCCCAAGAUCAAGUUUGUAAACUUGAGCUUCAACUGUCUCGCAGAGGUGUUGGAAAUCAAACAUGGUAACUACGAUCUUUUGAGGAAUCUUGUGCUUAACGGCACCAGGGUUUCGUGGUCGACGGUGCAGGGACUGGUGCGGCUCUUGCGCAAUUUGGAGGAACUCCACUUGUCCUUGAAUGAAUAUAAAACGGUGGAUCUGGAUUAUCAAAAGCCAGAGAAUGUGAAUCCGGCGCUAAAGAAAUUACACUUUACCGGCAAUCCGGUAGAAAUUUGGAACGAGAUCUCGAAGUUGGGGUAUGUAUUUCCAAACUUGAAGAGUCUCGUUCUCGCCGAAUGUCCGAUCAAGUCGCUUGGGUUGGAGGAAAAUCGGAAUUUGUCAAACGAGGAUGGCCGUCGAAUGAAGGAAGAAAGUCAUGGACAGGACAACGAGAAUAUGAAUCAUUUCGAUGCGGACGAACAUACGACAUCGUCGACAGACGAGAAGGGAAAUAGGAUAUUCGACAGUAAGGUCAAUUACGAUAGAUCCGAGUCGAAGCCGGAAUCCAAUGGAAUGACCAUAGAGUCGCCCCACGAUCCCUUCAGGAUGUUAAGGUUUUUGAAUGUAAAUGGUACCCUACUGUCGACCUGGGACGAAGUCGAAAGACUCGCCAGGUUUCCCGCGCUCAAGUCGCUCCGAAUCCAAGGUUGUCCGCUUUUCGAGAGUCCACGGGAGUACACGGAACACGAGAGGCGGCAGUUACUAAUAGCACGACUGCCAAACGUCGAGACUUUGAACGGCGGCGGUGUAAUAUCGUCUCAAGAGCGCGAGGACGCGGAGAGAGCCUUCAUACGUUAUUACAUGGACAAGCCGGAAGCCGACCGGCCCGAAAGAUAUUCCGAGCUCGUGGCUAUUCACGGAAAGUUGGAUCCUUUGGUGAACGUAGAUUUGACACCGGAGAAAAGGGUCAAGGUUACCUUCACUUACGGUGAUCUCGUCGAGAUACGAUCGGUGGAUGUAUAUAGAACAGUUUUCGAAUUAAAAACCAAGUUGGAAAGUAUGGUGAAAAUUCCUGCCAAUAGAAUGAGACUUUUCUACAUUGAUCAGGAAAUGAAGACGCAAUACGGACCGGAGGAAAUGCUAUAUCCAAACAAGCAGCUCUAUCGAUACAAUAUUAGGAACGGCGACGAGAUCAUCAUCGACAGUAAACUGAAUCGAUUCGCGUCGACAUCUUCGGCCACAUCUUCUAUUCGUUCCUGAGAAGAAGAGCACCGAGUGAAUCGUGCGGUAUUGAAGAAAUCCGAUAAUUUCUCGGGUUGAUCUCCCCGUAUAGCUUUACGAUGCGACACUCGUCGGUGAAUCGCCAAAUUCGAUAUAACUGCGACGUGAGGGGGAUCUCAUUUCCUCGGUGAGAAGGAGAAUAAUAGGAAUUCAUAGAGGAAGAUAAUUCGACUUAUCUUAGGACGAUGCCAACGACGAAUGUAACGAGACGCGCCAUUAAGGCUGUCAUCAAGAGAGACGGAGAGAACGAAAUAUUUUUGUAGAGAUCGCGGAUGGUUAUUCUUAAAGAAAGUAUAAGAUCUACUUAUUCACGAGUGCGUUUUGCUCCUCGAUUGAAUAUCGGGCAAUGAUAAAAAUAUAUAGCGCCGCAUUUUAUUUGCAGUCGCAUUUUUGUCGCGCACGCAUUUCGGUCGCACCCGAAAAAAUGCGUGUGUGCCUCUUUCACGAAGAUCAUUUGCCUAAAAAGCAAAGGAAAACCUCGCGCGAAAUUCUCAAGUGUUUAAAGAGAUAGAGAUAGAUAGUACGUGCAUCGCUGAUUCGCAAAGCGUCCACUUGUUUGUCGUUGUCGUCUCGACAAAUGAGACAAAUCUGUCUUUCGAAGGUGAUAUAUUAUUUAAACGUAAAUUCUUUCUUUUCUUCAUUUGCAAACUCGGCGCGAGAUUAAAACGCACAAGUCUCAUCGGUUCGCAAAUGGUGGCAAUGCGAAUCGUAACGAAUGUGUCCCGCGAAAUGCGAGGAAAAAUUUGUGUGAAAUCGUGCGAAUCCUGCGAAAGUGAUGUCGCGCUGUUAUCGUUUAUUCUCGAUGUGUACUUAAUUACAAGUAUAACGUCACGUGGUGUGCGUGACUUCGUCUCGAAGUGAAAUCGCGACACAUAAGUAGCAGUAUAGAUAAGAUUGAUAUAAAUUUCAGAUGUGAUAACAACGGCGACAUUGAUCCGCCGAUUUACAGUACAUGCGUAUAUGUAUCAUUUUAAUUUUCGAAAGUAUAUAUAUCUUUUUUCUCUUUCUAAAUGCUACAAGUAUCCCCUAUAUGUCUCGUUGUAUUUAUAGCUUACCCCAAUUUAGAGCACGAAUGAGUUCGCGAAAGAAGCUAAAUAGAAUGUUGCAUUGAAUGUUGCUUUGUCUUCGAACUCGCCGGCAUCACCGUGUCGUGACAUUUUCGAUCGAACGUCAAAGAGAAAGAAAAUAACGGACGGUGCGUAUAUCAAGUUUCAAUUUCUUUGCUCACAAGCGAUGAAGCUUGAGGAGUCACUUAGUGCCUGCCUUUUACGUAUUAACGUAAUUCAGAUACUUCUAACGCUCACUGCCCUGUGAAUACGAUAAGAUGUAAUAACGAAAUGACGAGGAUCUCGAUACUGUAACGAGAAACAUAGACCGAAUUCUUACAGUCAUAAAAAAAUCCUAGUUUGUCAGAAUUUGCAAUAAUCAAAGUUUUAUCAUAAUAGUAUUAAUAAUUUUUCAAAUGUAAUAACUAUUAAGAAAUGAGACUCGCCGAGUAUUUGGUAAUAAAGAGUAAUAUAUGAAUCGCGAACUUCCGAUUCGCGGUUUUAUUCGGCGACGUUGAGGAUCAUCAGUUGAGUACGAUUCUUGCGAAUAGUCGCGAAAGACGUGGCUGAAAAAAUUUGGUCGAAUGUUUCUCGCGGAGAUUGGAGAAGCACCGCGAGAUAGUCAGGGAAACGCAUCAACUAUAGAGUUUCAAUGCCACUUCGCGCCUUGUCUUCGCAGCGUAAAGAACAUGAAUGCUGUAGUCGAUGUAAACAACGGAAAAUGAAAAUGAAUCAGGAAGGAGAACAAGGACGGGACUGGUAGGUGGGAUCUUACGACGCACGUGUGUCUAGUCUCGGAAAAGGAACUCUGCAUUACUUUCAUUUUAUAAAAUACAAUCCGUUUUUGUGCUGGCGCAAAUGUACGUGUACUAAUGAAAUAAAUCGUUUAUAUGGAAAACCA
rnacentral:misc_RNA from 1 species